rnacentral:rRNA from 1 species
GCUAACUCCGGGAAACCGGAGCUAAUACCGGAUAACACCAAAGACCGCAUGGUCUUUGGUUGAAAGGCGGCUUCGGCUGUCACUUGCGGAUGGGCCCGCGGCGCAUUAGCUAGUUGGUGAGGUAACGGCUCACCAAGGCGACGAUGCGUAGCCGGCCUGAGAGGGUGACCGGCCACACUGGGACUGAGACACGGCCCAGAUUUCUACGGGAGGCAGCAGUAGGGAAUCUUCCGCAAUGGACGAAAGUCUGACGGAGCGACGCCGCGUGAGCGAAGAAGGCCUUCGGGUCGUAAAGCUCUGUUGUGAGGGACGAAGGAGCGCCGUUUGAAUAAGGCGGCGCGCUGACGGUACAUCACGAGAAAGCCGCGGCUAACUACGUGCCAGCAGCCGCGGUAAUACGUAGGGGGCGAGCGUUUGUCCGGAAUUAUUGGGCGUAAAGGGCGCGCAGGCGGUCCUUUAAGUCUGAUGUGAAAGCCCCNGGCUCGACCUUGGAGGGUCAUUGGAAACUGGGGGACUUGAGUAGCGGUGAAAUGCGUAGAGAUGUGGAGGAACCCCAGUGGCGAAGGCGGCUCUCUGGCCUGUAACUGACGCUGAGGCGCGAAAGCGUGGGGAGCAAACAGGAUUAGAUACCCUGGUAGUCCACGCCGUAAACGAUGAGUGCUAAGUGUUAGAGGGGUCACACCCUUUAGUGCUGUAGCUAACGCGAUAAGCACUCCGCCUGGGGAGUACGGCCGCAAGGCUGAAACUCAAAGGAAUUGACGGGGGCCCGCACAAGCGGUGGAGCAUGUGGUUUAAUUCGAAGCAACGCGAAGAACCUUACCAGGUCUUGACAUCCCCUGACAACCCAAGAGAUUGGGCGUUCCCCCUUCGGGGGGACAGGGUGACAGGUGGUGCAUGGUUGUCGUCAGCUCGUGUCGUGAGAUGUUGGGUUAAGUCCCGCAACGAGCGCAACCCUUGCCUCUAGUUGCCAGCAUUCAGUUGGGCACUCUAGAGGGACUGCCGGCUAAAAGUCAGAGGAAGGUGGGGAUGACGUCAAAUCAUCAUGCCCCUUAUGACCUGGGCUACACACGUGCUACAAUGGGCGGUACAAAGGGCUGCGAACCCGCGAGGGGGAGCGAAUCCCAAAAAGCCGCUCUCAGUUCGGAUUGCAGGCUGCAACUCGCCUGCAUGAAGCCGGAAUCGCUAGUAAUCGCGGAUCAGCAUGCCGCGGGGAAAACGUUCCCGGGCUUUGUACACACCGCCCGUCACACCACGAGAGCUUGCAACAGGCGAAUUCGCCCAGGUAAUCUUUAUCGGAG